UUUGGUACCCUUGGGUCUCGU
rnacentral:misc_RNA from 1 species